UACGUAGGGGGCUAGCGUUGUCCGGAAUCAUUGGGCGUAAAGAGCGUGUAGGCGGCCCGGUAAGUCCGCUGUAAAAGUCAAAGGCUCAACCUUUGAAUGUCAGUGGAUACUGCUGGGCUAGAGUCCGGAAGAGGCGAGUGGAACUCCUGGUGUAGCGGUGGAAUGCGCAGAUAUCAGGAGGAACACCGGCGGCGAAGGCGGUUCUCUGGGCAUUACCUGACGCUGAGGAGCGAAAGUGUGGGGAGCGAACAGG
rnacentral:rRNA from 1 species